CCGGUGCUGGAGAAGACCCUGGGAACGGGCAGAAUCUGAGCCGCGUCUCUGAGUCGCAGUGGGAAGGCGGCUCAGGAAAUGCGCCCUCCGCUGGCGCUGGGUCGCGGUUCUGGCUGCGUUACUUUUUCCUUGCAUCUGUGGCCCGGCGCGCCAGCCUGGACACUAGAUCCGCAAGAAGGGAGUUUUCCCAGGGCCGGCUGAAGAAUGAGAAGUCCGAGCUGCGGGGACGUUGGGGGUCUGUGCUUAGCGGCCACAGCCUGCCCACCACGGGUUCCCGCCACCCCGCCUCCCCACCUCCCUUCGCGCCAGGGCUGAAAGUCCCAGGCGCCCAAUGCGUGCCCAAGAACGAGCCGUGAACCUUUUAUCUACCCGUCCCCUUCCCCGCCAUGGACCCAGGACGACACCCCACACCCAGACACCACUCUUUCCAGGGGCAGAUGCUCCGGCGCGCCCCGCGCCCUGAAGUUCAACUUGGAAUCCAGGUCCGCGCGGGACCCCGCCUAGCGCCCCAAGCGCACAGGCUGAGCGCCCCGCCCUGGCCUCCUGGGCCUGCGGCCUCAGCGCGAGAGCCCUGGCCCCCUUCCCGCCGCGGGUCGCGGUCGGGAAAGCGCGCCCUGCAAGGGGGUUUUGUAGAUAAACAAAAGCGUUUGCUCUUCUGGUUUUCUUUUAUUUUCUUUAUUCGCCUGUCCCUUCCUUCUUAAUCUCCCUCUUCGCUCUUGUUUCUUUAACUUAUUUCCCUUCCUCAUUUUCCCUUUCUUUUCGUUCGCUUUUCCUUGUCACUCUCCUUCUUGUUCUCUUCUGUCUCUUUCUGUAUCUCCCUCUUCCAUUUUGGCCCCUUCUCUGCCUCUGGGUUUCCCUUUCCCGGGCCCCUCACUCUUCCUGGGCUAGGAUUGCGCCGUCUCCCUGCAUCAUUUUUCCUGGCUCCGCUGCCUCUUUCUCACUUUUUCGUUCUCCCGGCGGCCACCGUCUGGCGGGCUUGGGUCCGGCUCCCCCGCCGCCGCAGUGAUUUAUUCGCUUCACCCGGCGGAAUCAGGUGCUGAACCGAGCCCCGGAACGAGAGAACAGAUUUCUCCCAGGAAAGUGGACUCAGAUUAGCACGCAAACAGUGAGAUGCUCGGCUUGAGUCUACGCGCGGGCGAAGAUGCCUCUGUCGCCUCAAACAGUGUCCUUCGCGACGGCGGAAAACUACAGCCCGCCCCCGCUCCCGUGCCUGCUCAGGAAGCCGUGACCAAGCCAGUGCCCGCCGGUGCCCGGAGUGAAGGUGGAAAAAGCCGAGUGCUCCUGCUCGGGGGCGGGGUUGAGAGGGGGAGAUUAAUCCGGGCAAGCCAAGGGGACCUUAGACUUGCAGCCAGGGCCGCCACCCGAGGAGCCCGCAUGCAGGGACGCGCCUGAAGGCUUAGUCAAACCCGGGGAAAUGCCCUCCCCCGCCUGCAGAAUCCCCACGCCGUCUCUUACUUCCUCCCUCUUUGCCACUGGCGAGCUUACACGUGCACACACACACACCCCUCUCUGUCUGUGACCGCAACAAACUUUGUGAAACUUGAACCGCUGGGUGCAAAGUUCACGCCCUUUUCUCCUUUCCUCUCUUGCCUGGGCCGGCUCCUCCUGGAGCAGGGAGGGAAGAAGUUCUUGGCCUCCAGACCUGGGAGAGGAGUUUCCGAAAGUCAGGGCCUCGCCUCGCUGUGACAUUAGACCCUUGCCACCCACCAGACCGAUGGACACUAAACACUUUCCUUGUCGGAAGGCGCUAGUAGUUGCAGCGGCCAGGCUUGGCAGGGCCCUGGUCGACCACCCCACCACUGCCCUGGCCGGACUUUCCCAGGGCGUUGGUCUCCUGGUCCCUAUUAAGUCGGGGCUGUCCUGGGCUUGGAGCCCAGGUUCAGGGCUGUCAGCCCCUUGCCAGCUGUCUGAGCUCUCUGCCUUUCUAGUUUAUUUUCCCCCAGCUCUUGCCCUGGGUUAGCUCUCUCCCAGCCCUCCACUCUGUCUCUGUCUCCGACUCCAUCUCUGGCAGGGCUGCCACUGUCUCUCUGUCUCUCUGUCUCUCCCUGUCUCUCUGUCUCUGUCUCUCUUGUUUGUUUCAAGGCGCGGACACUGAUUGUGCCUUAUGAAGUUCUAACUGGUUUUGUGUCAGGAAGAUCUUUCUCGCCGCUACCCAGCCUGGCGUGACGGAUUAAACAUCAACUAGUUAAAUAAAAAUUAAUAUCAACUGCCUCCUAA
rnacentral:lncRNA from 1 species